GUGAAAUCGACGCAUUCACCAUUCUGGCUGCCUUAGCUUUCUUAACAUUUUUAAUGUCCGUGCUGGCGCAGUUGCUUGCCAGCGUAACGACCACUGUGGCAGCGGGAAGGUCGGAAUUACGAGAUGUCACUGAAUCUCCGGUUUUACCUAGUGGGCUCGAUUUGGAUACAGUAUCGAGAACUAUUGAAGUAUUGAUUGAAAAAUUAAAAAGUAAGGAGGUUAAAUUAUGGGGUGGAAAUUCUUCAUGGGGAAAGGGUAACAGGGCUGGGAAGGAUAAUUAUUUUACAAAAAAAGGACUCCUAGGUUCGGAAUUAAAGUAUAAAAAAUAAGCUCAUAAUUGAAAAAACAAUUAAGUAUAAUUAUCAAUUCUGAUAUGACUAAUUAUUUCAAAUGGUUUUUAUGUUUUGUUUUUUUUUCGGGUGAUUCUCAUGUUUCCCCAUGAGGGAAGUGUGCACCCCCACUGGAAGAAGGGUGCGCACCCUAAACUUGACACUUAAAUAUUGGGCUCGUUUCCUAGUAGAAUUUAAAAUUAAAGGGUAUGACAAUGGACACCCCCCCCUUAGGGGUAUGGUUAUUCAUGCAGGGGGUGUUUACUGUCCAAAAAAUAAAAGGAAUAUAAACACAUUGUAAGGAUUCUAUUAUUAGAAGAUAAGGCCAACUGUUGCUAUAACUUUUAUAAAAGGUAUGUAUGACUACUUGUAAAGGAUUAAAAAAGAAUAAAAUUGUAAAAUUGGUAGCUUAUUAUUUCCGCAUGAAAUAAAUUACGUGAAAUGAA